CGUGAGUAAGCUUAGUCAUCCAAAGCAGAGUUAAUCUAUUUUUUUCCUGAUCCUCUGUUGCCUUUGUGUGUGUGUCUGCUAUAUACAUAUUACAAUUUCCUUGUGCUAUGUCAUUUUUUUUCUUCCAUGACACUGCUUUGGCACAGGUGUUAGUCCCAUAAUACUAGCAGAAUUUUCUACAAGAGGUCAUCACACAAGUGUUAGGAGGAAAGCUCUUGCUAAAUGAUUUUGGAUAAAAACAGUUCCCUUCUCUCAAGCUUGACCUUUCAGAAGCUUGGUGAAUCAAGGGAAAAAUUUAGAAUCAAUUAGCUAGUUAACGUUAGUCGCUCAGUUGUGCCCAACUUUUUGUGACCCCAUGGAUCCUCUGUCUAUGGUAUUCUUCAGGCAAGAAUACUGGAGUGGGUGGCCAUUUCCUUCUCCAGGGGCUCUUCGCUACCUGGAGAUUGAACCCAGUCUCGCCCAUUGUGGGCAGAUCCUUAACCAUCUGAGUCCAGUAACCAAAUCCUGACAUUGGCAUUUAUUCACAAGCUGGGUGACCCUGAGAAAAUAAAGUAACCUCUCGAAGACUCAGUUUACUAACGUGCAAAAUGGGUAGAAUAUGUGCCUGCAAAUAUUUACUAUGUGAAUUAAAGAUGAUGCAAGUAAAUAAAACUAUGCAUUUGAUUGACGUGGUUGUUUGACCACGGUCUUGUCGACUGUCUUGUUGUUGCCAACUGUCUUGCUACAUCUCGUUGUGCUCACUGUUCGGCUGAACCCGUGGCAGACAAAGCAUGAGGUAAAAGGCUGAAAGAAAAUUCGAGGAUCCGUGAGAACUGCAGAUGCGUUUAUUCUCUCUUGUCUGGUGCAGCAGCCAUAGCAGCAGACAUGACAUAACAACACAACAUAACUGCAUACAACAACUAUCCAGGGCUUUUCCAGGUGAAGCUUAUAUAUACUUAGAGAACAAAAGUAGCCCGUGGCCAAGCGAGUAUCUCGGGGACGCGCAUGCGCAGUGCUAUACGUGAGCUCAGCUUCAUGAUCUCAGUUACAUAACCGUUCAAAGUCAUUGUUUACAGAACAAGGGGAGAGAGGGCCUGAGAGUGUGGGGCGAGAGAGUAUGACUGGCACCAUCACGUUAACUUCCCCACAACCACUGUUUCAUUCUGCAAUUUCUGGCUCCUGUCCUGAAGACUGUGACUCUCCAGAGUGAAGGACAUCAUAUCUGCAAGUACUUUGGUCCUGAGCCCUGGGGAGAUGUGUGGAAUUUACUUCUAUGUCUGAUCUCCAGAAACCAUCAAGAGAAGAGGUGAAAGUAAGACAGAACAUGGAAACAUAAACUACAAAACAGGAAGGAGCCGAGGCGCUUCAAGCUAAGAAAGAGAAAAUGGGGAGAGCGCUGCGUCACAGUGAUGUAUGGUCUUCGAUGGUUCUCCGGCCAAGAGAUCAUACAACACUGCCCAGAGUGACAUGCACAGCCAACACCCAGGGUUGAAGACCCUGGUCUCUCAACAGUCUUUGACAUAACAUACUGAGCUUUAAAAUUUUCCUCCUACUUCAUUUCCACCCUUGUCCUGUGUUUCUAACUUCCCAUCUAUUCAGCUCUUCGGAUGCGGUUAUCUGGAUGAACUCUCCUCCUUCUCCACUCUUGUUUCUGAUCUACUGCAUAAUUCCUCCCUUCAGAAAUGGCAUGUGCUUUUAAUAACAGACCCAAUGGUUCACAA